CAGCUGCGCCCCGAGCCGGAGCUGGACGCCCAAUGGGACUUUUGGAAGAGAAAGUACAGCAAGCAGUACAACGGCAAGGAGGAUGAAAUAUCGCGGAGAUUGAUUUGGGAGAAAAA